AUACGGAGGACGCGAGCGUUAUCCGGAUUCAUUGGGUUUAAAGGGUGCGCAGGCGGCCGUGCAAGUCAGCGGUGAAAGCCCGGGGCUCAACCCCGGAAGUGCCGUUGAUACUGCGUGGCUGGAAUGCGGUCGAGGCGGGCGGAACGUGGCGUGUAGCGGGGAAAUGAGUAGAUAUGCCACAGAACGCCGAUAGCGGAGGCAGCUCGCCAGGCCUGCAUUGACGCUCGGGCACGAAAGCGUGGGGAUCGAACAGGAUUAGAUACCCUGGUAGUCCACGCCGUAAACGAUGGGCGCUCGUCGUCGGCGACAGACAGUCGGCGGCCAAGCGAAAGCGAUAAGCGCCCCACCUGGGGAGUACGGUCGCAAGGCUGAAACUCAAAUGAAUUGACGGGG
rnacentral:rRNA from 1 species